UGUAGGGCAGGCCUGGUGGUGACUCAGCAUGUCCCAUAUUUCUUGAAGGCUUUGUUCAUUUCUUUUUACUCUUUUUUCUCUAAACUUCUCUUCUCACUUCAUUUCAUUCAUUUGAUCUUCAAUCACUGAUACCCUUUCUUCCACUUGAUUGAAUCAGCUGCUGAAGCUUGUGCAUGCAUCACGUAGUUCUCCUGCCAUGGUUUUCAGCUCCAGCCUGAUCCUUCCUCUGGAAGCUUUGUCUCAGAGGGGCACCCAGUUGUAUGAGAUGUCAGUCGACCCUUACUGGGAAGUGUCUCCCAGUUAGGCUACUCAGGGGUCAGGGACCCACUUAAGGAGGCAGUCUGUCCAUUCUCAGAUCUCAAACUCCAUGCUGGGAGAACCACUACUCUCUUCAAAGCUGUCAGACAGGGAACAUUUAAGUCUGCAGAAGUUUCUGCUGCCUUUUGUUCAGCUAUGCCCUGCCCCCAGAGGUGGAGUCUACAGAGGCAGGUAGGCCUCCUUGAGCUGCAGUGGGCUCCACCCAGUUCGAGCUUCCCAGCCACUUUGUUUACCUACACAAGCCUCAGCAAUGGCGGACGCCCCUCCCCCAGCCUCUUUGCCACCUUGCAGUUGGAUCUCAGACUGCUGUGCUAGCAGUGAGCGAGGCAGUGUGGGUGUGGGACCCUCUGAGCCAGGCACAGGAUAUAAUCUCCUGGUGUGCCAUUUGCUAAGACCAUUGGAAAAGC
rnacentral:lncRNA from 1 species